UGUGUCUGUCUACAUGUCACUCAAGAGGAUCUAGGUCAAGGGGCGUGGCCACUCUCACCUGCUCUGCUCCAGCCAGCUGCAGAUCAUUCCAGUAAUCAACCAACACCCAGCUGCAGCUCAUUCCAGUACUCAACCAACAGUUAUCUACCCGGGCUGUUCACCUCUUCAGCGCCAGUUCGUUGCAACCAUUCCUGUGAUUCCGCCUCUGGACCUGCUGCUUUUCGGUUCUCAUCUGCCUCCUCGCUGCCUGCUCACCUCGCAACUCCGUUCUCAACCAGCCUUUCCACCAGCUCUCGUCUUCGCUGCCUGGCCACACACCCGCCGUCUGAUCUCCAGCUUCGACUCCAUCUGGAGCUGCUCUCCUGGCCAUUCCCUCCUGCACUAUCCACAUUGUGUCCAAUAAAACACUGCUAACUGCU